CCUAAGACACGCUUCGUUGACUGAGCCACCUAGGUGCUCCUGUGUAAUUCCAUCUUUGUAAAGACGGCAUACAAGAGUCAAGAUACAACACAGGCAAGUAAUCUGAACAUUUAGUGUCAGUAAUGGACUUACACGUUUCGGCAAGAUAUAGGCUUGAGAAAACCAACUUCACUCCCAGUAAAAUGUGUUUCAUUGCCACUGAAAUCUUUACAAGUUAUGUUGGGUGCUGGAAAACAAGGAACUAAAGGCAGAAAAAAGCAAGAAACCAUUGUUUUUUUUUCUGCAGGAAAGGAAUUGAUGCAGUACACCAUUUCAACGUUUGACAUUUUGGAUCUUUACUUAUACCCCAGAUGACAUAAGAAGAGGAAGUAAUACUUAGACAGCUUACUAUGUGCUAGGCAGGCAGUCCUGAGACCUUUACAGCCUCAUUGUGUAAAGAGCAAGAACUUUGGGACAUGAAUGACCUAUCUGUGCAUUGCCUCUUUCAGAACCUUAGGUUCCUGGUAGAUAAAAAAUAGCACCAAGAUCACCUACGUUAUAGGACCACUGUGGGGAUUAAAUAUGCUACAACGUACCUAGCACAAACCUCA